rnacentral:rRNA from 1 species
AUUGAACGCUGGCGGCAGGCUUUACACAUGCAAGUCGAACGGUAACAGGCCGCAAGGUGCUGACGAGUGGCGGACGGGUGGGUAAUGCAUCGGAACGUGCCCAGUCGGGGGGGGUAACUAGUCGAAAGAGUAGCAAAUACCCCAUACGAUCUAUGGAUGAAAGGGGGGGACCGUAGGGCCUCGCGCGAUUGGACCGGCCGAUGUCAGAUUAGGUAGUUGGUGGGGUAAAGGCUCACCAAGCCAACGAUCUGUAGCUGGUCUGAGAGGACGACCAGCCACACUGGAACUGAGACACGGCCCAGACUCCUACGGGAGGCAGCAGUGGGGAAUUUUGGACAAUGGGCGCAAGCCUGAUCCAGCAAUGCCGCGUGCAGGAAGAAGGCCUUCGGGUUGUAAACUGCUUUUGUACGGAACGAAACGGCUCUGGUUAAUACCCGGGGCUAAUGACGGUACCGUAAGAAUAAGCACCGGCUAACUCCGUG